rnacentral:lncRNA from 1 species
ACUAACAUCUUUUGUUUGAACCUUGAGUAUCAUCCAAGACACUUUGUGGGUUCUAUUUAGAUGAUCAGUCAACACAAGGGAAUGGCUUGAGAUACUUCCAACAUGUUCAAAUGGGGUCUAUUCGUCAGUCAAAACGUUAAUCGUGAAGGAGCAAAAGUUUGUUCAUGAACUGUCAUGCUCGCUAGGCGAAGCCCACGUGUUAAAAAAAACGAAAAAAAGAACGAAAAACGAAAAAAAAAUAAAAUAAUAAUAAUAAUAACAAUAAUAAUAAUAAU